UACGUAGGGUGCGAGCGUUAAUCGGAAUUACUGGGCGUAAAGCGCACGUAGGCGGAUUUGUAAGUCAGGGGUGAAAUCCCGGGGCUCAACCCCGGAACUGCCUUUGAUACUGCGAAUCUCGAGUCCGGAAGAGGUGAGUGGAAUUCCUAGUGUAGAGGUGAAAUUCGUAGAUAUUAGGAAGAACACCAGUGGCGAAGGCGGCUCACUGGUCCGGUACUGACGCUGAGGUGCGAAAGCGUGGGGAGCAAACAGG
rnacentral:rRNA from 1 species